rnacentral:rRNA from 1 species
GGCGCGUAGGCGGGGAUGUAAGUCAGAUGUGAAAUACCAUGGCUCAACUGUGGGGCUGCAUCUGAAACUAUGUUUCUUGAGUGCUGGAGAGGAAAGCGGAAUUCCUAGUGUAGCGGUGAAAUGCGUAGAUAUUAGGAGGAACACCAGUGGCGAAGGCGGCUUUCUGGACAGUAACUGACGCUGAGGCGCGAAAGCGUGGGGAGCGAACAGGAUUAGAUACCCUGGUAGUCCACGCCGUAAACGAUGGAUACUAGGUGUAGGAGGUAUCGACCCCUUCUGUGCCGGAGUAAACACAAUAAGUAUCCCACCUGGGGAGUACGGCCGCAAGGUUGAAACUCAAAGGAAUUGACGGGGGCCCGCACAAGCAGUGGAGUAUGUGGUUUAAUUCGAAGCAACGCGAAGAACCUUACCAGGGCUUGACAUACUAGGGGAUAUACCAGAGAUGGUAUAGUCCUUCGGGACUCUAGUACAGGUGGUGCAUGGUUGUCGUCAGCUCGUGCCGUGAGAUGUUGGGUUAAGUCCCGCAACGAGCGCAACCCUUGUUGUUAGUUGGUAACACGUGAAGGUGACCACUCUAACGAGACUGCCGGUGACAAAUCGGAGGAAGGUGGGGACGA